UAUCGAAUGUUCCAGACUUUU
rnacentral:miRNA from 1 species